CUAUCAAGCUCUCGCGAGAGCCCAGCAGAUGCCAGCGUCAUGCCGUGAGCCCCCAGAAUUAUGAGCUACAUGAACCUUAUCUCUUUAGAAGCGACACCAAGAUCUGUGUUUCUUCCCAAAAAGAACGGAGAUAUGCAACAAGGAAGUGGAAACAUGCCUUCAAAUCUUCAGCAGAAAGCCCCUCAUGUUUACAAAUCAUCCUUAUGGGCCUUUCAUAGUCCUUCAUGACCAUAUUCAGUAGGGACUAUGUUUACUCAGUUAUCCCAGACAAAAUAAAAGAAGACUGAAUAGCUUCAGUGAAGAAAUAAGGAACCUUCUCCUCCUUCCGUUUCUCCAAAGGACCCAGAUACACUCUUGGACAAUCACUCCAAAACCUGCUCUACCAUUCAACGGACAAUGGCAGCUCUGCGGCUUCAAUCUGCCCUGAUUAGUGGAACCCUCGUGGAGCUGUAAUGCAGGAACAAUGCUAGCUAUGACGCCUGAAUAGCAUUUGGUAUUGUAUUUGAUAGACAGAUCAUGAAGGGGUUGAAAAAUCCUGUAAUCAGUUUAACUUGUUAAAUAGCUCAUAACUUUUAUCUCAUUCCUAUCAAAUGAGAUAAAAGCAUGGGCGUGGUCGGGAAGAAAAUGUAG